CACGUAGGGGGCAAGCGUUGUCCGGAAUUAUUGGGCGUAAAGAGCUCGUAGGCGGUCUGUUGCGUCUGCUGUGAAAACCCGGGGCUUAACCCCUGGCUUGCAGUGGAUACGGGUGGACUAGAGGUAGGUAGGGGAGAACGGAAUUCCUGGUGUAGCGGUGAAAUGCGCAGAUAUCAGGAGGAACACCGGUGGCGAAGGCGGUUCUCUGGGCCUUACCUGACGCUGAGGAGCGAAAGCAUGGGGAGCAAACAGG
rnacentral:rRNA from 1 species